rnacentral:rRNA from 1 species
UACGGAGGGUGCGAGCGUUAAUCGGAAUUACUGGGCGUAAAGCGCGCGUAGGUGGUAAGGUCAGUCGGAUGUGAAAGCCCCGGGCUUAACCUGGGAACUGCAUUCGAUACUGCCUUGCUAGAGUAUGGUAGAGGGAAGUGGAAUUCCGGGUGUAGCGGUGAAAUGCGUAGAUAUCCGGAGGAACACCAGUGGCGAAGGCGACUUCCUGGACCAAUACUGACGCUGAGGUGCGAAAGCGUGGGGAGCAAACAGG